ensembl:lncRNA
CCCGGUUUGCUCGGACCCGGCGGGCAGAGCCCCGCCGCCGCCGCUCCGCACCCGCGCUGCCCCGGCGGGGCCCCGAGUGCGCGGGUGCGGAGCGGCGGCGGGGAGAGCCAAACCCUUGGUACCUCCGACCCGCGCCCGAGUUAAAAAAUGACCUUUCCCUGCAUAAUUUUGGAGGUAACCUAGCUGCGUAAUUAUAUUUGCACUUCCAGAAGACUGCAUCAGAGUUCCCUUAUUGGUUUGAAAUUCCAUUAAAUAUAUUGCAAGAGCUCCUAGGUUAAGCUUGAUUUAAAUUUGCAUACAUUUUCAUAUAUUUAGCAGAAAUAAAAGAAGGCUUGCAGCUACCAGAAAGUCAUUAAGGCAUUAGUUUCUCUGAGAAGACAGAUCUGAAGAAAAUUCAAGAAAAUGAGAAAAUAGAUAUAAAUAAGGUGGAGCUGAAUACAAUGCCCACAUUUGUGGUUAGCUACAAGCAAAACAUUAUGAAGAUGAUGGUAUUCAGACACAUACUCAAACAACUGGAUUCAGACAAACAGGAUGCAAGACUGACCAACAAGAGAAGAACAGGCAUUAUGCAGACCAGCAGCAUUACAGACCUGCUGGAAGAGCUUAGCAGAAGAGCCAACGCUGCACUGAUGAUGUUUGAACAGAGGCCUGUGGUGGUCCAGCUUGUUGGAAACUUUUGUGUUCAAACCAGAAGGAUGCUGUAGAUGGAGCUAAUCUGAUUCUUGAAUCCCACUGAGGAUGCACAGAGCUGAUCUCUGAGUCUGUGAUAUCUGCUGCCACUGUAAGUGUGAAAAAGCGGUGCCUCUACCUGCUCUUUCUGAGUGCCCUGUAAUGAAAACCCUUUUGGAGCAACAUUGGAAAUAAGCCAUCACAAUAUCUGAUUAAACCUCUUAGGAAACUGUCACUAAUCACCUUCUCUGCUCUUGAUGGAAUAUAUUUAUGCAUUAUAAAUAUACUUACUGUGUGUGUGUGCUCCAUAAAUCACAUUCAGCACUUGUAUAUGAUGUAUAAGCAUAUUCUAUAGAAUACACACAAAUACAGAUGCCAAACUCCCACAGAGUUCAUCACUGGGAAAUGUUUGAAGGAUCUGAUCCUUAAUAUUUAAUGAGAAAGAUGCUAUUUCCUUCCUCAGCUUUUAUCUCUGGUUUGGCAUAGUCAUUAAAUUUGUUGUUUCCUUGCAAGAUUAUAUAAUUUAUGACCUAAUUUUAGACUUUUGUGUAACUGUGCUAAAAUACUCGUGGCAUAUCCGGAUUUUUUCAUACGGAGUAUUUCAGCAUUAGACACCAGCUAGAACAUGACUGCUCAGCUAUGAGCUUCCCAUCAGUAAGGAAUUACAAGCAUUAAAGGAAAACAGCCCAACAAUAUUCAGAUAGCAUUUCAGGAUUAGACAGUGGUGUUUUUUCCUCUGUAAAACUAUGAUUUAGCAACAUUUCCAAAGCCCGUCGUAUGCAGCAGUUGGCAGGAAUCCCCAGGUAAUACAGUAAUCACCCAGAAAUUCCUAUUACUUAAAAUAUUUUCAUGUAGCAUCUUCUGACUUUCAGACCGCUCUGGGAUGAAUUCAUACAGCCUUCAUCACAGGUACUGAUGUACAGAGCUGGGAAAAGGAGGUGAAGAAUGACACUCGGUGCUUUAAAGUGACUAUCAGCCCCCUCGCCCUCUGGAAGAAAGCAUUUGCUCUGCAGCACCAGGCUGGCUGGGGAGAUUUUUGCUGCACAAG